AGUUGCUUGUUUAUAAGCAAUCACUUGUCUGUAUGCAUGCACACGAUGAUAAACAAACUUUUUAAUAUUUUUAUGACUAGGCCUAAUUGAGGCUGUUUCAUCUGUAUUGGGAAGGUUAUGUGAUGUGUGUUGCUCACUAGAUCUUUAUAGAUCAUGUUUCUGCUAGUAACUUGGUGGUUUGCUUGACAUUGCUGGUCAUGUGAUGUCAACAUGAGGGGGCGACCUUCUCCAUGUAGCAUAAAACCGCAUUUUCUGGGAGAGUAAAUGCAUCUCAUAGUCAGUCUAUAAAGCAUUUGCUCCAACUACUGCUGUCAGCGCGCGCUGUGGACACGACUGGAGACAUGCGCUCGUGGGUUCGCAUGAUGCUGUGGUUGUCAUCUUUUACAACUGAUUGAGGAUUAAAAAGAAGCAGAUCUAGAGAGAUAAAUGUGGAGAAAAACCAGCGCAUAUGAGAUGGGUAGAAUGAGAUAGAGCUGCUGUAUGAGACUAAAGGACCUCACCCAGAUAGGAAC